UGUAGCUGGGAAGAGGGAAGCAGAGCUGCAUCAGGAGGGAAUUAGCCUUCUGAGGACACAGAAGCAACAGCUCAGUGAGGUGAGGAGAGAGAAAGCAAGGGAGUACACAAAGUCUCAUCUACAGAAGCGAGGAUAUGUGUGGGAGAAGAUAUGGAAGGAUCCAGAGCAGGUUCCCCACCCUGAGGCUGAGUUGGUAAUCUUCCUCCUGGAGAGGAAGCACGAGGACACCUAGAGCACCGGUGCCUUCCACACCAGUGAGAUAGAUACCAGGAUGGGGAGCAAGUGGGUGAGGAAAUCUUCAUGGUGACACACGCAACAGGGCAAGUAAGGAUGGUUGCUGUCACUGUCAGAGCUUCCGGCCCCCCCACCCCCACCCCUCCAGGCCCCCAUAACGUGGUUCAGAUCUCUCGUUCCAAACUCCAUCCUCCUGGACCUCGCUGUGGGAUCGUGUGUCCGCAUGGCCCAAAGGAGAGUCCCCUCCCCAAAAGAGAAAGCACCUCACUGUGGAGAAAUGCUUACCGAUUGGCACACCCGGGGGACUCAGGUGGAGAGCGACAGGAUCCCGGGCCACAGAACUCUCCCGCACCACAACCUCUGCGCCCUAACGUUAAUCUCCAAAGUCUUAAGACAGUCGGGAAAUCAAAGCAGCUGCUUGAUGACCUGGAUCGUCGCCACUUGCCCAUCCCCAAGUCCAGAGGCCAUGCUUUGAAGCGGGGGUGGUGCCCAAUCUCAUCUGUAGAGUAGCUCUCCUGUUCAUGUUCCCCCAUGCCCUGCCUCUCCACAUAGUUCCUUCCCCUUGGGCUCCUCGGUGGAAUCCCAUCCCUUUCUUCUCCUCACGGUGACUGGAUGUGUGCCCGCGGUCUACUCCUUUCCUUGGGCCCAUGGUUUCCUAUCAGCAGUGAGCAUGCCAUGCAUGCCUGCGGGACCAAAGCCCACUUCUGUCUGAUCCUCAAAAGAGGCCCCCUGUGCUUGCAGAGAAGGACCGCAGACUUUGAAGGACCACAACACAGGAGAACCACAAAGGGCUCAUGCGCCACAGCUGCUCACAGUUCAUGCCAGGAUGCAGGUGGUUCCUGUCAUUACCUGGGCCACCACCAGGCCCAGUGAGGCAGAACACUGUGGACUCUGGGCUCCUGACACAGCUCCCUAAGGACACUGAUCUUCUUGGGGACUCCCAAGAAGUUACCCCACACCCCUCCUGUGAGCGUGGGCACACGGAGCUCUCCCUUAGGGACUCCAGUCCUGACCCAUAGGAAUUCCCAACCGUAUGGAAAUAUGGGAGGCAGAUGAUGUUCAUACCAUUACCUCGGUCGUCCCCUUCCCACGCUCUGUAUCCAUACACCCCACUGGUACAUCCUAGCUCCCUGUUUACUGUG